AGGCUGGCCGGCCGCUCCGAGUGCGGAGCCGGCCAAGGCCACGCCCACCCGGAACUCUAGUUGGCCCGCAAGCGCCGCGCGCAGGCCCGGUUCCCGCCGGUGCCUCUCCCGCUACACCUCCCGGCAAGCCGAGGGAGCCGGCUCCGGCCUCCGCCAGCUCAGAGAAGGGCUCCCACAGCGCAGCGGCGGGCUGAAGGGCUCCUCAAGCACGGCCAGAAUGGGCGCCUGGACGAGGCCGGGGAGGCACCGAGAACGAGUGAGGGCUGCGAGGGCUGCCAGGUCCGCCAGCACGCUGUCACCUCUCAGUUUGAGAACCGUGAACUGAAGUUGUUGCAGGAAGUCAGGGAUCCCGAAUGGAGGGACCGGCUGAAGCCCUGGCAGAAGAACAUAAAUUGUGAAGAUUUCAUGGACAUUUAUCAGUUUCCAAAAUUAAUACUUUUAUAAUUUCUUAUGCCUGUCUUUACUGCAAUCUUGGAACAUAAAUUCUUUCUGGAACAAUGUCAAAAGUCAUUCAUUUGGGGGGAACUCAUUCUCUACAAGCAAACUACAAAGCCUUUGCGUGAAGACAGAGGAUAUCUGGAAUUUGAUUGUAUUUCUCACACUGUCUAGUGCUAAUUACAAGAAUGAACCAGAAUAUGAAGGAUGAAAAGCAUCAGGGAGAAACACUUCUUCAAAUCUCUACUUGAAGAAGACUAAGUGUUCUUGUUUUUCUUUAAUAGAAAUACAUCCAGGAAAAAAAAAAAAAGAGAAAGUGAAGUAUGUUUUAACUAAACAAGGAAAUAUUAAAGAUCGCAUAGGAUAUAGGAAACAUUUUUCAUCCAGCGUCUGACUACAAUCAUGGUUAUGCCUUAAGAAAUUAACUUAGCAAUAGAGGAGAAGACAAGUUAUAUGUAGAAGAAGAUUAACAACAGGUUGAUACAAUCACCCAAACAAGAGCCAUGAUAAGAUGUGUUUGCUUUCUCUUCACCUUCCACCAUGAUUGUAAGUUUCCUGAGGCCUCCCAGCCAUGCUUCCUGUACAGCCUGAGAAA
rnacentral:lncRNA from 10 species